rnacentral:rRNA from 1 species
UACAGAGGUCUCAAGCGUUGUUCGGAUUCAUUGGGCGUAAAGGGUGCGUAGGUGGCGAGGCAAGUCAGAUGUGAAAUCCCGGGGCUCAACCCCGGAACUGCAUUUGAAGCUGCCUUGCUCGAGUACUGGAGAGGAGACUGGAAUUUACGGUGUAGCAGUGAAAUGCGUAGAUAUCGUAAGGAAGACCAGUGGCGAAGGCGAGUCUCUGGACAGUUCCUGACACUGAGGCACGAAGGCCAGGGGAGCAAACGGG